rnacentral:rRNA from 1 species
GCCAGACUCCUACGGGAGGCAGCAGUGGGGGAUAUUGCACAAUGGAGGAAACUCUGAUGCAGCGACGCCGCGUGAGGGAAGACGGUCUUCGGAUUGUAAACCUCUGUCUUUGGGGAAGAAAAUGACGGUACCCAAAGAGGAAGCUCCGGCUAACUACGUGCCAGCAGCCGCGGUAAUACGGAGGAUGCGAGCGUUAUCCGGAUUUAUUGGGUUUAAAGGGUGCGCAGGCGGCGUGUCAAGUCAGCGGUAAAAUGUCGGGGCUCAACCCCGGCCGGCCGUUGAAACUGGCGUGCUCGAGUUGGAGAGAAGUAUGCGGAAUUCGUGGUGUAGCGGUGAAAUGCAUAGAUAUCACGAAGAACCCCGAUUGCGAAGGCAGCAUACCGGCUCCACACUGACGCUGAGGCACGAAAGCGUGGGUAUCGAACAGGAUUAGAUACCCCCGUAAG